GGCAUGCGUGGCUCAGUGGCGAGCUCUCACCCAGCGCGCACCAGGCCCUGGGUUCAAAACCCAGCGCUGCUA
rnacentral:tRNA from 1 species